rnacentral:snRNA from 1 species
CAAGAAUGACAUGCAAAUUUGUGAGGCGUUCCAUAUUUU